UCCUCAUAUACUCUUCUGUUAUUUCUGAAUAUCAAUUAUUAGCAAGCAUAUUAUCUGAAACUCUACCUUCAGUUCAUUGACGCGUUGCUCAAAUGCUUAACAAAGUAAAUGUGAGACAAGGAGGAAGAGGAAAUUUCUUGAAAAGAUUAAAUCAGAUUAGAGAAAAAGACAGUUGUAACACUACAGAACAGUAAUUACAGUGUACGCUUUACUGUGGCAAGCUCCCAGGAAGGAAUAAAUAAGUAGGGUGAAUGAUGGUGAUUGCACUAUUGAGAUCAUUCUAAUGUAAUAAUCCAUUGAUAGGGUUAAAAGGCAAGAUAGUAGAAAAUUAAACUGCAUAUGAAUUCAGUUGUUAAAACCCACUUUCUUUAAAAACACAUACUUCAUGAAAAUGGGGUAUUUUCUGAUAAGAUAUGGUACAGAGCUGUCAUUGUUAAAACCAAGUACACAAAUAGUAGGACAAAAAUAGUUCACUAUGUGGUAUUCAAGUAUAGCAACUGGACUAUUUUUAUUGCUCUUGGGAUUCACUGUAAAGCAAGGAAGACUAAAGACAAUUCUCUACUGAUGAUCCGCAUUCUCAGAAAUGUAUUAACUAUCAUUAUCUCAGUCAAAAUGUUGAUUUGCAAUGUAACAGGGUUUGCCUAAUGGCUCAACAGUAAAGCAAAAGUCACAACUGCUGUUUCAUCCCCACUAUCAAUAUCUCAUUUGCUACAGUUUCCUUUUUUUGCUUUGUCCAAAAACUCGCAGAAGAAAAGAAAAAUUGCUGACAAUGUGGAUCAUGCCAUGCCGACCUCAGUUCUCAGGAAGCCUGUGUUUUUGUUAACAAAACUGUUGCUUGAUCAGUUGUCCUUACAAUGGUACGUUCUGGAGAAUGCGAAGGAGACCUUAAUGUUGAACUGAGAGGAGGCGAAGCACGUAAUGAUGAUGUAGAGAGACCAUGUCGACGCAUCUCCUGAAUUGCACGCUCUCUACCAACAGAUAGCAAUUUCAGUUACAUAACACUUUGGUACUGCAGGAUGUUAAAGGACGAAAACGUAACUUUUUUUUCCAUAUUUUUACUUGGUGAUUUUCACAAUACUUUGCAAAGAGCCUUUUUUUUCCUCAUAAUGUCACUCAAUUUUCUUCUUGUUUUCAUGAGAAGGGAUUUUUUUU